rnacentral:rRNA from 1 species
GACGAACGCUGGCGGCGUGCUUAACACAUGCAAGUCGAACGGAAAGGCCCUGCUUUUGUGGGGUGCUCGAGUGGCGAACGGGUGAGUAACACGUGAGUAACCUGCCCUUGACUUUGGGAUAACUUCAGGAAACUGGGGCUAAUACCGGAUAGGAGCUCCUGCUGCAUGGUGGGGGUUGGAAAGUUUCGGCGGUUGGGGAUGGACUCGCGGCUUAUCAGCUUGUUGGUGGGGUAGUGGCUUACCAAGGCUUUGACGGGUAGCCGGCCUGAGAGGGUGACCGGCCACAUUGGGACUGAGCUACGGCCCAGACUCCUACGGGAGGCAGCAGUGGGGAAUAUUGCACAAUGGGCGGAAGCCUGAUGCAGCAACGCCGCGUGCGGGAUGACGGCCUUCGGGUGGUAAACCGCUUUCGCCUGUGACGAAGCGUGAGUGACGGUAAUGGGUAAAGAAGCACCGGCUAACUACGU